UACGGAAUGUGCAAACGUUAUUCGGAAUCACUGGGCUUAAAGAGUCCGUAGGCGGCAUGUUAGGUGAGGUGUGAAAUCCCCCGGCUCAACCGAGGAAUUGCGCUUCAAACCGGCGUGCUCGAGGAAGAUAGAGGUGGGCGGAAACUGAUGGUGGAGCGGUGAAAUGCGUUGAUAUCAUAGGAACACCGGAGGCGAAAGCGGCCCACUGGGUCUUUUCUGACGCUGAGGGACGAAGCUAGGGGAGCGAACGGG
rnacentral:rRNA from 1 species